rnacentral:tRNA from 1 species
GCCUGGGUGGCUCAGUAGGUUAAGUGUCUGACUUUGGCUCAGCUCACGAUGUCACGGUUCAUGGGUUCGAGCCCCAUGUCGGGCU